GGCUUUAGAGCUGGCGGUAGAGCAUCGUUCUAGAAAUACGAAGGUCGCGGGUUCGAAUCCCAGCUGCGGUCA
rnacentral:tRNA from 1 species